rnacentral:rRNA from 1 species
UGGGGAAUAUUGCACAAUGGGCGCAAGCCUGAUGCAGCGACGCCGCGUGAGCGAAGAAGUAUUUCGGUAUGUAAAGCUCUAUCAGCAGGGAAGAAAAUGACGGUACCUGACUAAGAAGCUCCGGCUAAAUACGUGCCAGCAGCCGCGGUAAUACGUAUGGAGCAAGCGUUAUCCGGAAUUACUGGGUGUAAAGGGAGCGUAGACGGAUGUGCAAGUCUGAUGUGAAAGGCGGGGGCUCAACCCCUGGACUGCAUUGGAAACUGUAAAUCUUGAGUGCCGGAGAGGUAAGCGGAAUUCCUAGUG